CCUACGGGGUGCAGCAGUGGGGAAUAUUGGACAAUGGGCGCAAGCCUGAUCCGGCCAUACCGCGUGGGUGAAGAAGGCCUCCGGGUUGUAAAGCCCUUUUGUUGGGAAAGAAAUCCAGCUGGUUAAUACCCGGUUGGGAUGACGGUACCCAAAGAAUAAGCACCGGCUAACUUCGUGCCAGCAGCCGCGGUAAUACGAAGGGUGUAAGCGUUACUCGGAAUUACUGGGCGUAAAGCGUGCGUAGGUGGUCGUUUAAGUCCGUUGUGAAAGCCCCGGGCUCAACCUGGGAACUGCAGUGGAUACUGGGCGACUAGAAUGUGGUAGAGGGUAGCGGGAUUCCUGGUGUAGCAGUGAAAUGCGUAGAGAUCAGGAGGAACAUCCAUGGCGAAGGCAGCUACCUGGACCAACAUUGACACUGAGGCACGAAAGCGUGGGGAGCAAACAGGAUUAGAUACCCGGGUAGUC
rnacentral:rRNA from 1 species